rnacentral:lncRNA from 1 species
GUGACACCAAACUUGAUCAGAAACCAUGCCACAGGUGAAGAGGUAUAUUGAGCCCUGCCUGGCCAGUGAGGUUACUAGAGAAUUGGAAGAGGCUCAAGUCAGCAUCCUGCACAUGGUUAUCAAACCAUUGUGAAGUCUUAUCACCUGGGAUACUUGUUAAAAAUGCAGAUUCUUGGGCAGCUAGAAACCUUGUCACUGGUCAAGAGCAACAAGUAACAAGACCUACUUGUCACUUAUCCUGAGGCAUCGUGCCCAGUGGGUUUACCAGCAAACCAGAAUAAAGCAUCAUUGCCCUGGAUGUCCUUGUGAGAUGGUUGGGAAGUCUUGGUAAGUUGCUGGUGGUUUGGUGGGGUUCCCCAGUUGGUAGAAAAGAGAUGGUUCUGAUGUGGCACUUCCCCUCUUCCUUCAACAUAUAUUUAUUAGGUGCUCACUGAGUGCUGGAGACUGUUCUAGAUAUUAACAAAGUCCUGCCAUCAUGGGACUUUCAUUCCUGUGAGAGUAGACAAAAGAAUAAAUAACCAAUAAAUAGUGUAUCAUAAAUGUUAAAUCAGAAGUUUUUCCAUUUUGGUGUAAAAGUGGCAUUAAAAAUUGUUGAGUUGGACCUAAAAAUACUGUGCUUUUCUCCCCGCUUCCCAUUCUCCUGUUUAGUACCUUCCACCCUCUCUCUCAGUGCAAUAGAGGCUGACCAAACUGAGUAUAGGAGGGUCAAAGAUGAUGAAAGCAUCUUUUUCCUUUUUGUAACCCCUCACUAGGCUGAACUGUGGAGAAUAUCUUUGAAAAGUGUUUUAGAGAGUCUACCAGAUUGGCCAUGUGAGUGCCUGUGCAGCAGAAGAGUGGGUCUUCUCAGUGGUUAAGGUAACAAAGUGAUUAAGGGCCCUUAAGCCUGGUUUCUUUCCAUGGAAAAGAGCAUGACAAAAGACUGAGUGUCGACAUGUCCCUGGCAGCAGGCAUGAACGAAAGAAAAUGGCUGUGCACAGAGGGAGAAUUGAUCACUGUCUGUUCUUCAAAGACGCUUCCCUGGCAGUGGUUGGGGCUGUUAGCGCUCACUGCCCUAACAGAGACCUGCUUCAACAGGGUACGAAGAUCCAUCAUUUGGCCCAGCUGUAUUAUGGGAUCAUCUGACUUCAUGGUGUCAUUGAAAGGCUUACGUGUGCUAGUGGAUGAAAAUAUUUCAACGCUUCUCUCUGCCGUCUUUUUGCUGCCAUACACUGUGCUGGGUGAUGGGGAUAUGGAGAUGAAUUAAACAUGAUUCCUGCCCUCAAGGAGUUCUCAGCCUAGUGAGAGUUUGACAUGUACACAAAGAAUUACAACAGUAUGGUAUGCUCUACAAUGGAGGUAUGUACAAGAUACUGUGGGAUUCAGAAGAGAAAUCAUUUGACUGAAUCUGGACAUGCAAAGGUUAGAGAACUGAUGAUUAAGUUGAAUCUCAAAAAAAGUAAAGAUUGACUAAGCAGAAAAAGUAUGGAGAUUAGAAAUAGAAUGAUAAAUUGGGAAUUACAGUUAAUUCAUGAAAUUAGGUUGUAAAUGUGGGCUGGGAAUAGACCUUUAUAUAGUGUGAAAUGAAUCAAGUGAAAGUGAAGUUGCUCAGUUGUGUCCGACUCUUGUUGUGUGUGACCCCAUGGAUUGUAGCUCACCAGGCUUCUCCGUCCAUAGGAUGUUCCAGGUGAGAGAGUAUUGGAGUGGGUUGCCGUUUCCUUCUCUAGAGGAUCUUCCCGACCCAGGGUUUGAACCCAGGUCUCCCGCAUUAUAGGCAGACACUUUACUGUCUGAGCCACCAGGGAAGUCUUAUUUUGAAUCAAAGCAAAUUAAAUUUGGAUUUCAUUUUGAGUGUUUUAAGAAGGGGAUGCUUUUGAUGGUCACUGAGAUGGUAGUAAGUUAUGGAAGAUUUUCGGAUCUAGACAGGGAGAUCAGUUAGAAGGAUACUAUAGUAGUUAAGAUGAUAAGUGAUCUAAAGCUGGAAGGAGUGACAAUGAAGAUAACCUCUUAAAUACAAUGUUAAACAAAUUAUAGAUAUAAUUAGAACAUGGGAAAAUUUAGGCUUUCAGACUGGCAAAUGGGUAUCCUCCAUCCCCACCUUGACCUUCAUGAAAGAUCCUUGCAUGUUUUAUUAUUUAGGUGUUGCCAUUGGUUUCUUCAAGACCAGGGCUUGGCUGCAUAGAUUUUGCAAGUUCUUUUAGGGGGUGGGGCAGCCAUAUGUGAAAUGUCGACUCUAAGAAAGACAACUGAAGAGCCGCAGACUUCUC